GGAGGCAGAGCCACAGAGAGAGGCCCUUGUCCAAUGCAGCACAGAUGGUUAACAGCUGAGCUUCCAGCUCAGGCCCUGGAACUGCUGCCUGGGAAGAGGUGGCUGCUGGGUACUGAGAUUGGGAUUCCCCUGCCUUAUUCUCCGCCUGUCUCAUUCUGGUCAGAACACCAGGACAACUGAAAUGCCACCUCCUCUGGGAACCUUUUCUUGACCUCCACCCACUCCCCCAGAAGCAGAAGCCCAGAGGCCCAGAAAGUGGGGGUUCUGUCUUAGAGUGAGGGAGGAGGGAGGCCCUAGGAGUCAGAAAAAAGCCGAGCACUAUGAUCUAAAUGUUUAAGUCCCUCUAAAAGGCCUGGCACGAAAUCUUAGCGCCUAGAGAGAGGCCCCAGAAGGAGCCAGCCUGCCGGAUAAACUGCAGGGCGUGUCCGCUUCCUGGCAUGCUGCUCCUGCGGGGAGAGCUGUGGCCAUUUCUUCUGCAGGGUGGCCUUGAAUUCACUGUGUACCCCAGUCUGGCCUCAAACUUGCAAUGAUCCUCCUGCCUCAGCCUCCUGAGUACUGGGAUUACAGGACAAGAGCAACUCCGCCAUUGCAGGAAGAGCAUGGUAACGGAGUGACUUCUACAUGAAGCUUAGAGCAUGGCCUAGAACAUGGCGAGCACUACAUCUGACUUGCUGCUAUCAUCUGCAUUGCUGGGUCUGUCCAGGUCCUUCUCAUCCAUCUCGAGUCAUAACAACAAAAACAACAACAAAACAACAACAAUAAUAGCGUCCUCUCAGAAAACCC
ensembl:lncRNA